rnacentral:rRNA from 1 species
GUACGAUUAGCUAGUUGGUGAGGUAAUGGCUCACCAAGGCGACGAUCGUUAGCUGGUCUGAGAGGACGAUCAGCCACACUGGGACUGAGACACGGCCCAGACUCCUACGGGAGGCAGCAGUGGGGAAUAUUGGACAAUGGGCGAAAGCCUGAUCCAGCCAUGCCGCGUGGGUGAAGAAGGCCCUAGGGUUGUAAAGCCCUUUCGGCGGGGACGAUGAUGACGGUACCCGCAGAAGAAGCCCCGGCUAACUUCGUGCCAGCAGCCGCGGUAAUACGAAGGGGGCUAGCGUUGCUCGGAAUUACUGGGCGUAAAGGGCGCGUAGGCGGCCAUAUCAGUCAGGUGUGAAACCCCUGGGCUCAACCCAGGAACUGCACUUGAGACGGUAUGGCUUGAGGUCGAGAGAGGAUGGUGGAACUCCCAGUGUAGAGGUGAAAUUCGUAGAUAUUGGGAAGAACACCGGUGGCGAAGGCGGCCAUCUGG